rnacentral:rRNA from 1 species
GUUGGCGUCAGUUACUCCCAACCCAAUGUGAACGUUACCAAACUGUUGCCUCCGGCGGGAUCUCUGCCCCGGGUGCGUCGCAGCCCCGGACCAAGGCGCCCGCCGGAGGACCAACCAAAACUCUUAUUGUAUACCCCCUCGCGGGUUUUUUUUAUAAUCUGAGCCUUCUCGGCGCCUCUCGUAGGCGUUUCGAAAAUGAAUCAAAACUUUCAACAACGGAUCUCUUGGUUCUGGCAUCGAUGAAGAACGCAGCGAAAUGCGAUAAGUAAUGUGAAUUGCAGAAUUCAGUGAAUCAUCGAAUCUUUGAACGCACAUUGCGCCCGCCAGUAUUCUGGCGGGCAUGCCUGUCCGAGCGUCAUUUCAACCCUCGAACCCCUCCGGGGGGUCGGCGUUGGGGAUCGGCCCUGCCUUGGCGGUGGCCGUCUCCGAAAUACAGUGGCGGUCUCGCCGCAGCCUCUCCUGCGCAGUAGUUUGCACACUCGCAUCGGGAGCGCGGCGCGUCCACAGCCGUUAAACACCCAACUUCUGAAAUGUUGACCUCGGAUCAGGUAGGAAUACCCGCUGAACUUAAGCAUAUCAAAAGGGGGAAGGGAAA